rnacentral:rRNA from 1 species
GUAAUGGCGAAUGAAGCGGGCAGAGCUCACGCCGGAAAUCCGGAGGCCUGUUACAGCCGCCUCCUGAAUUGUAGUCUGGAGAGGUGCCAUCGGUCCCCCUCGGCGCCAAAAUCCCUUGGAACGGGGUAUCGGAGAAGGUGAGAAUCCUGUCAAGCGCCGGAGUGGGACCGUACGAUGUGCUCUCGUAGAGUCGGGCUGCUUGGGAGUGCAGCCUGAAGCGGGUGGUAAAUUCCAUCUAAAGCUAAAUACUGGCGGGAGACCGAUAGCGAACAAGUACCGUGAGGGAAAGAUGCAAAGAACUUUGAAAAGAGAGUUAAAGAGUGCUUGAAAUUGGCAGGAGGAAACCCGGUUGCGCGUGGCAUUUGGCGUGGUCGACUCAGCCGCGCGCGGAGAUCUGUAGGGGACCUAACGGCCUCGUGGUCAGCGCGCGCGGUGCACUUCGGCCGCGUCGGUCAGCCGCGUUUCUGCKYGGCCCAUACGGCCGCGGGCAGGGCUUCGGCGCCGCCUGCGGUUUGGGGGUCGCGCGGGAUCCCGGCUGAUGCGCACGGGCGCAACCGACCCGUCUAGAAACACGGACCAAGGAGUCUGACGCGUGUGCGAGUACUAGAGUGGCAAGCUCGAGUGCGCAAUGAAAGUGAAGGGCGUGCCCCGUCAACCGAUCUUGAUCUUCUGUGAAGGGUUUGAGUGGAGCACAUCUGUCGGGACCCGAAAGAUGGUGAACUAUGCCUGAGGAGGGUGAAGCCAGAGGAAACUCUGGUGGAGGCUCGHAGCGAUACUGACGUGCAAAUCGUUCGUCGAACUUGGGUAUAGGGGCGAAAGACUAAUCGAACCAU